GAUGAACGCUGGCGGCGUGCUUAACACAUGCAAGUCGAGCGAGAAGUCUUGGAACGAUCCUUCGGGUGAGUGAAGAGAUGGAAAGCGGCGGACGGGUGAGUAACGCGUGGGCAACCUGCCCCAUACAAGAGGAUAGCCACUGGAAACGGUGAUUAAUACUCUAUAAGACCACAGCGCCGCAUGGUGCAGAGGACAAAACUCCGGUGGUAUGGGAUGGGCCCGCGUCUGAUUAGCUGGUUGGUAGGGUAAUGGCCUACCAAGGCGACGAUCAGUAGCCGACCUGAGAGGGUGAUCGGCCACACUGGAACUGAGACACGGUCCAG
rnacentral:rRNA from 1 species